AUGGACUAUUUAGGCUUCACUCGUCCCAAAGUGAGCGUCCUGCCGCCCUCCAGUGAAGAGAUUUCCACAAAAAAAACAGCAACACUGAUGUGUGUGCUCAACAAGGGUUUCCCCUCAGACUGGAGUGUGAUGUGGAAGGUGGACGGGAGCAGCAGAUCUCAGGACAGCAGUGUUGGGCUCCUGGAGAAGGACGGUCUGUACAGCUGGAGCAGCAGUCUGACUCUCUCUGAGCAGGAGUGGAGCUCAGUGCUCUCAGUGAGCUGUGAGGCCAAACACAAAGAUCCCAGUCAUACAGUCACUGGAGAAUUCAGGAGAGAUGAUGAGUGUUCACACUAG